CAUGGCGGAGCCGGCCACAGUUGGCGUGUUCUUUCCCGGACGUGAGUCGAGGGAUUGGUUUCGGUGAUCUUGCGGGUGACGUGCAGGAAGGUCAUCUCUUAGAAUUUUAGGGUGAAGAAGAGCACCGAAGCUAUGACGUCCAAUAGAACGACAGCGUGUCCUUGAAGAAGCAUCUCAAGAUCCCCUCCCGAGCAGCCCCAGGCAGUUUUCAGGUUUCUUCGAAGCUCUAAGAAAGCCUUGUCUACCUCGUGAGGUCGCAGUAGUCCAGGAAUGAACAAGACAAUCAUUAGCAACUACAGACCUCAGAAACCAGAUAACCAGACCAGCACAUGCAGAGCUCCGGUUGGCGGGCUGCGCCCCUUCUGGGAGAACCAACUGGCUCGUCCAAUCACCGGCAGGAACGGCAACUCGUGGGUGAUGCCAGGAUUCAACAUGGCGUCUUGGUGCCGCUCGGGGGUGUAUUCGGGCCUCCCCCAGCGGACCUACGCCGUAGCUGCUCGUCCAAUCGCCAAGACAGAGGUCGAGCCUAGGUGCGCCCUUGCAACAAAGCUGGCGGCCAGAGGCGCUCACGUUUAAGGGAUUCAGCUGGUCCUUCGUGCGAGCUGCCUUGGAGGUUGUGUCCCCCUGAACCGCGCCUCACUGCUCUUGCUGUGGCAAGAGACAGAUGUGAGGGGCAAGGUGUACUCUCCGCUUCGGGUUCCUGCCCCGAGGCGCCGAGCAGAGGGGUUGCACAGGUCCCGGGUCCCAGCUGGAGGACGUGGGGAAGAGCAGCAGCACGCCCACUUCCCUGCAGUGUUUGUAGAGUACCUGCGCGUGUCACUGUGGCCAGAGCCGUCCACUUGUACCAGCUGGACCCCAGUAUUCCUGUCAGCUGCAGCUGAGUAGAUGUGUCUCGUUUUUUUCUCACUCAUGAGGGAUGGUGGCAUUAGUUUAUCAGACAAAAUGUCUGGGGCCCCAAAGAGAAAGAAAAUUGAGCCUGUUCAAGAAGUGAACCAAAAGCUACCCCCAAAUCUGACUUCCUUUCUUGUUCCUGUAAACUUUCAGAUGUGUGAACCAAUCCCAGUUAUGACAAAUUGGCAUAGUAGUUCUAUGCAUGCCUACCUGGCAUGGUGGACAGGUGCAUGUACAUUUAGGAGUGAAAAAAAUGCGUUGUUACAUCUGUUUUAAAAAUUUGCAUUUUAGGAGACCUGAAGCUGAGCAAUACAGUGUCCAAGCCCGGUCAACCUGAAAUCACCCGAAAUAAACCUGUAGCCCAGCAAAA